CUCUUUUACUUCUCCUCUCUCUGCUCCUCUCUAUGCUGGUGGGCAGCAUUCCAUUUGGACAGUUUGCUUCUCCAGCCCUCAACCCCAUUUCUUCAUCACACUGACUCUGUUUUUAAGCUGGGUGUUGGUGGGAGAAAAGGCUUAUGUCCUUUAGAGCAGUCCACAGCACUCAAAGGGAGCCUGCUGCCUACUGCCAUCUGCGGCCUGCUGGGAAGACUGCUGGUUGUCAUCCAUGAUGAUGUGCAAGCGGAAGGAGCAGUUUCUGGAAGAAGAGAGAAGUGGCCUGUCCCACCUGGUUGAAAUCUCCUGCUGGCCACAAGUGGCUGG
rnacentral:lncRNA from 1 species